CCUACCAGAGUAGUUGAGAGGUGGUGCAUGNCCGCCGUCAGUUCGUACUGUGAAGCAUCCUGUUAAGUCAGNCAACGAGCGAGACCCGCGCCCUCAGUUGCCAGCGGGUCCCUUCGGGGACUCCGGGCACACUGGGGGGACUGCCGGCGCUAAGCCGGAGGAAGGUGCGGGCAACGGCAGGUCCGUAUGCCCCGAAUCCCCCGGGCUACACGCGGGCUACAAUGGCCGGGACAAUGGGUACCGACCCCGAAAGGGGUAGGUAAUCCCCUAAACCCGGCCCCACUCUGGGAUCGAGGGCUGCAACUCGCCCUCGUGAACCUGGNAUANGUAGUAAUCGCGCCUCAAAAUGGCGCGGUGAAUACGUCCCUGCUCCU
rnacentral:rRNA from 1 species